CGGGCCGUCGUAUAGUGGUAGUACACAAGGCUGGGGGUCUUGUAGUCAGGGUUCGAUUCCCUGCGGCCCGA
rfam:Candidatus Wolfebacteria bacterium RIFCSPLOWO2_01_FTLL_47_17b rifcsplowo2_01_scaffold_616, whole genome shotgun sequence.